rnacentral:rRNA from 1 species
AACGAACGCUGGCGACAGGCUUAACACAUGCAAGUCGAGCGCCCCGCAAGGGGAGCGGCAGACGGGUGAGUAACGCGUGGGAAUCUACCCAUCUCUACGGAAUAACGCAUGGAAACGUGUGCUAAUACCGUAUACGUCCUUCGGGAGAAAGAUUUAUCGGAGAUGGAUGAGCCCGCGUUGGAUUAGCUAGUUGGUGGGGUAAAGGCCUACCAAGGCGACGAUCCAUAGCUGGUCUGAGAGGAUGAUCAGCCACACUGGGACUGAGACUCGGCCGAGUCUCCUACGGGGGGCAGCAGUGGGGAAUAUUGGACAAUGGGGGCAAGCCUGAUCCAGCCAUGCCGCGGGAGUGAUGAAGGCCCUAGGGUUGUAAAGCUCUUUCACCGGUGAAGAUAAUGACGGUAACCGGAGAAGAAGCCCCGGCUAACUUCGUGCCAGCCGCCGCUGUAACAC